AGCAAUAUUUUUGCAUUUGAACUGACGAACAAUUGUGUAGGACAUUUUCUGUCAACAACUCUGUCUUGGUGGCACAUGUUUCAAGGGCCUGUGUUGUGCUUAGAAAUAUUGGAUAUGUCCCCUGCUGUUCUGGAAAAUCCAGACAAACGAUAUGUAUUGGAGUGCGCACACGUCAUACUGUUCUGGAACAGCAGGCCCGCGAAUGGGGUAAAUUCAAGUCUGUGAACGUCUUUUUUUAUAAUUUUCAGAAUUGCACAAACAACUGCAGUUAAACCGGUUUUAUACCAGUCACGGCACUAAAUUGAUAUAUGGAUAUUCAAUGUGUAUAGUG